AUUGAACGCUGGCGGCAGGCCUAACACAUGCAAGUCGAGCGGAUGAAGGGAGCUUGCUCCUGGAUUCAGCGGCGGACGGGUGAGUAAUGCCUAGGAAUCUGCCUGGUAGUGGGGGAUAACGUCCGGAAACGGGCGCUAAUACCGCAUACGUCCUGAGGGAGAAAGUGGGGGAUCUUCGGACCUCACGCUAUCAGAUGAGCCUAGGUCGGAUUAGCUAGUUGGUGGGGUAAAGGCCUACCAAGGCGACGAUCCGUAACUGGUCUGAGAGGAUGAUCAGUCACACUGGAACUGAGACACGGUCGCGACUCCUACGGGAGGCAGCAGUGGGGAAUAUUGGACAAUGGGCGAAAGCCUGAUCCAGCCAUGCCGCGUGUGUGAAGAAGGUCUUCGGAUUGUAAAGCACUUUAAGUUGGGAGGAAGGGCAGUAAGUUAAUACCUUGCUGUUUUGACGUUACCAACAGAAUAAGCACCGGCUAACUUCGUG
rnacentral:rRNA from 1 species